rnacentral:ncRNA from 1 species
CUAUGACUGACCUAAGUCAUGGCGGAAGGAG